CCUACGGGGGGCGGCAGUGGGGAAUAUUGGACAAUGGGCGCAAGCCUGAUCCAGCCAUGCCGCGUGAGUGAUGAAGGCCCUAGGGUUGUAAAGCUCUUUCACCGGUGAAGAUAAUGACGGUAGCCGGAGAAGAAGCCCCGGCUAACUCCGUGCCAGCAGCCCCGGUC
rnacentral:rRNA from 1 species